CUGGGGCUGUGACACAACGGCAGGUCCGUCCACCCCCUGCGCCAUCCGCCAUCUCCUGCACCACCUCCUCCCUCACCCGGCGGCGCCGGCGCCCCAAUCCCUUGACACCACCUCCUCCCCAACCCGGCAGCGCCUCCAUCCUUCUGUCGGGACCUCCUUCCAUGGUGGCGCCCCGACCUAACUAAUCUUCCUUGUCUUCAGUCUAGAUAUGCCAGCGACCUCCUUCCAUGAUGGAGCAGUUGGAGAGGAGUGGCGGAUGCGCGGGGCAUCGCCGGCCAGAGAGGACGGGGAGGAGAUAUGCCAGCGAGGGAGGCUGCUCGGCUUGGACCGGCCAUGGCGUCGGCGCUGCUAACUCCCACGGGCCUCUCAUUCUCCAUCUCCUCUGGAAGUGAUGAAACAAGCAAGGAGGAAGGGCGUAGUGUUGGAUAUUUGACCAGGUUAGAAUUGUCUCCUGUUAAGUACUCCCUCCGUCUGAAAAUAUUUGUCAUUAAAAUGGACAAAAAAGGAUGUAUCUAGAACUAAAAUACAUCUAGAUACAUCUCCUUUUAUUCAUUUUGAUGACAAGUAUUUCCGAACGGAGGGAGUAUAUGGUUGUGUGAUUUUAUUUUUACCUCGCUGUCACUAAAUUUGAUUUAAUUUUCAUCUCCGACGAGUCUACCGGUUGCGUUCUUAUUUUGUUGCAGGUGACAUGCAUAUAUGGAUGCCUCUGUUCUGAAUAGACAAUAUUUACUUGAACCUAUAUGGUCUGAAUAAAGUUUACGCUGUCAAUAUUUUCCCGUGACCUACCAAGGAGAAAAGAACUUUUAGUUAAUACCAGUCGAAUUUUGGCUGCCGGGUCAACCAAUCUCCUCGGUUCCGCUUGCCGGUUUACCUGAAACCUCGCAUGCUGUCUCCUGUAAUCUCCUCGCUUGCGUUUGGCGAAGGGGUGCUGCUGCUGCUGCUGCAGAGAUCAUUUCAUCAAAAACGCUAAAGUAGUGGCUGAUCCAAGUUUUCAGAUAAGCAUGCAUGUGUGCUUUGUUUGUAUAUAGAAGCUCGCUAAAUUGGCCCUCGCAACCUUUGCCGUGCCUACUAAAACCACCAGCCGCAAGGACAAGUGAAGACUGCUACACUGUUGCUGUUUUGAACAAACCCGGGCUUUAGCACUAAUAAAGGUCAUCUACAGAGCAACCGGCUUGAUUCGUAGGUGGUCGUUACCCAGCCGUGCAGAAGUCAAGGAGCAUAUGGCUUAUGGGUGCAACCGUUUGGAGACGAUGGCACGGGAUACCUAAAACCGGUUUGGAUGGCGGUCCAACAAUAGGAUAGGCGUAUAGUCAUCUAGUCAUAUUUAUGCCAGCUACGUUUAUUUUUUCAACCUAUUUUGAGUGUAUUGAACUACAUACUUUGGUUAAUAAUAUGAUUGCAUGCA